rnacentral:rRNA from 1 species
AUGCAAGUCGAGCGGAGACAGUGAGUAGCUUGCUAUGAGCUGUUUUAGCGGCGGACGGGUGAGUAACGCGUGAGCAACCUUUCCCAGACAGGGGAAUAACACACCGAAAGGUGUACUAAUACCGCAUAAGACCACGGGAUCACAUGGUUCUGGGGUAAAAGAUUUAUCGGUUUGGGGUGGGCUCGCGUCCGAUUAGGUAGUUGGUGAGGUAACGGCCCACCAAGCCGACGAUCGGUAGCCGACCUGAGAGGGUGAUCGGCCACAUUGGGACUGAGACACGGCCCAAACUCCUACGGGAGGCAGCAGUGGGGAAUAUUGGGCAAUGGGGGGAACCCUGACCCAGCAACGCCGCGUGGAGGAAGAAGGUUUUCGGAUCGUAAACUCCUGUCCUUGGAGACGAGUAGAAGACGGUAUCCAAGGAGGAAGCCCCGGCUAACUACGUGCCAGCAGCCGCGGUAAUACGUAGGGGGCAAGCGUUGUCCGGGAUAAUUGGGCGUAAAGGGCGCGUAGGCGGCUCGGUAAGUCUGGAGUGAAAGUCCUGCUUUUAAGGUGGGAAUUGCUUUGGAUACUGUCGGGCUUGAGUGCAGGAGAGGUUAGUGGAAUUCCCAGUGUAGCGGUGAAAUGCGUAGAGAUUGGGAGGAACACCAGUGGCGAAGGCGACUAACUGGACUGUAACUGACGCUGAGGCGCGAAAGUGUGGGGAGCAAACAGGAUUAGAUACCCUGGUAGUCCACACUGUAAACGAUGAAUGCUAGGUGUAGGGGGUAUCGACCCCUUCUGUGCCGCAGUCAACACAAUAAGCAUUCCGCCUGGGGAGUACGGCCGCAAGGUUGAAACUCAAAGGAAUUGACGGGGGCCCGCACAAGCAGCGGAGCAUGUGGUUUAAUUCG